rnacentral:lncRNA from 1 species
GUGUAUCUAAAUAUAUUUUAUUUUCUCUUUAAAGAGAAAUUGGUUACAAAAUUUCACUGAAACAAAACACAAAUGAGUGAAUAAUCAAAAUCAGUAUAUAGAUUUAUGCAAUCAGAAUAGCUCUUGUUUCAUCAAAUGUCAAACUUUUAGUUUUGUGAUCUGAUUUUGCCUCUGCCAAAUUGUCAAUCUCGUUAAGAAAAUACAUUUGAGCUGCCUUGGAUAAAAAAAGAACUUAUGCAAAGAAAUGUCAAUACAUCUAUUUAAUUAUUUUAGUUGAAAAAAUCCCUUUGCAAAAUCAAUGACUAUUUGAAAUAGAGUUGAAAUAAGAAACUUAAAAUCAGACCAAAACUCAUAUUUUAUUUUGUAUUUGAAUGUUUCAACAUUAAUAAAGUUGUAUACAUGUACAUGCACUUCCAUAAGGUCGAUUUAUAUCCAAUGUUUCAACAUUAAUAAAGUUGUAUACAUGUACAUGCACUUCCAUAAGGUCGAUUUAUAUCCAAUGUUUCAACAUUAAUAAAAUUGUACAUGCACUUCCAUAAGGUCGAUUUAUAUCCAAUGUUUCAACAUUAAUAAAGUUGUAUACAUGUACAUGCACUUCCAUAAGGUCGAUUUAUAUCCAAUGCAGCUCAUUCAUUAUAGGAUACAGAAUCUUCAUUGAAUAAACUGUUUGAGAUCAAAAUAAUCAUUCAAACAAA